rnacentral:piRNA from 1 species
UACGGGAACACUUCAUUACCACCAUUCCCCAG